rnacentral:rRNA from 1 species
UACGUAGGGGACAAGCGUUGUCCGGAUUUAUUGGGCGUAAAGAGCGUGUAGGCGGCUUUACAGGUCCGUUGUGAAAACUUGAGGCUCAACCUCGAGACGCCGGUGGAAACCGUAAAGCUAGAGUCCGGAAGAGGAGAGUGGAAUUCCUGGUGUAGCGGUGAAAUGCGCAGAUAUCAGGAAGAACACCCGUGGCGAAGGCGGCUCUCUGGGACGGUACUGACGCUGAGACGCGAAAGCGUGGGGAGCGAACAGG